rnacentral:rRNA from 1 species
AUGCUUCCAAAGGACAAUGAAUUGCCCGAGAGUACGUACGAAGCAAAGAAGGCUGUCUGCCCUCUAGGGUUAGAGAUGCAGAAGAUACAUGCAUGCCCUAAUGAUUGCAUCCUCUACCACGGUGAGUACGAGGAUUUGAACGCUUGCCCAGUAUGUGGUGCAUUGCGCUAUAAGAUCAGCCGCGAUGAGCAUGGUGAUGUCGAGGGCGAGCGCCCCAGGAAGAAGAUUCCUGCCAAGGUGAUGUGGUAUUCUCCUAUAAUACCACGGUUGAAACGUUUGUUUCAAAACAAAGAGCAUGCCAAGGCGAUGCGAUGGCACAGAGAAGACUGUAAGAAAGACGGAAAGUUGAGAGUACCCGCUGACGGGUCG